rnacentral:lncRNA from 10 species
CUCAGACUGCUGUGCUAGCAAUCAGUGAGACUCCGUGGGCGUAGGACCCUCCGAGCCACGUGCAGGAUAUUAUCCCCUGGUGCGCCGUUUUUUAAGCCCGUUGGAAAAGCGCAGUAUUCAGGUGGGAGUGACCCGAUUUUCCAGGUGCCGUCCAUCACCCCUUUCUUUGACUAGGAAAGGGAACUCCCUGACCCCUUGUGCUUCCCGAGUGAGGCAAUGCCUCUCCCUGCUUCGGCUCGUGCACGGUGCGCGGACCCACUGACCUGCGCCCACUGUCUGGCACUUCCUAGUGAGAUGAACCUGGUACCUCAGAUGGAAAUGCAGAAAUCACCCGUCUUCUGCGUCAAUCACGCUGGGAGCUGCAGACCGGAGCUGUUCCUAUUCGGCCAUCUUGGCUCCGCCAAAAUAGAUCAAUAGGGGUCAGGGGAUAUCUUUCAUGAGGUUCCAGCACAAACACAACAAAAUGCAGCAGCCAAAUCACAAAAAAAAAAAGAAAAAAAAGUUGUGAGAAGAUGAGAUGUCUAAAAGUGACUUAAUAUGGAUCAAGUCAAGAAUAAUCCAGCUAAGUUUAAACUUCAAUCAAUGAUAAGAAGAAAAAGAAAAGAAGCCUUUCUGUGAGAAAGGCUAUUUCACAGUGUAAAGACAAAGAAUUGCAUGCUUCAUGAAAAGGAUUUUAUCUCUCUGCUGAGUGAUUCUCGGGACAGCAACCAAGUGCAUCAUCAUCAAGUCCACCUGGGGAUGAUGCUACUUACAACAGCUCAGCACACAUUGCACACUUAUUGCCAUGCGUCUUCCCAUCAGGACCAAGAACAGGAUCAUUUUCCCUUGUGCAUCCAAGUCUUCCAUCUCUAACAAAGGGCCGAAAAGCACUGCAUACAUCCUGAAGAACAGGGAAAAGAACUUGAAACUUACCAAGAUUGUAAUGCUGACAACACUGUUUUCAGAAAUUUUAUUGAACUCAGUCCCUCUGACAUUGCUAUGGGCCACUUAGAGCAGUACCAGCUGUGUAGAUGUAGCUCAGUAAGUACUCUAUAAUUCAUGUGGUUAAAUAUAAAACUUUUUUACUUGUUUAUUCAUUUAUUUAGUAAACAGAUAACCUACUAUGUGCCAGAACUCAGACAGAGCACAGUCCUUGCCAUCAACUUGCUCCCAAUCUCCUAGGUGAUAAAAAGAGACAUUUAAAAUUGCAUGAUGCUAAAUGACUUGGUGCAAGUCACCUCAGGUGCUCUGGAAGCUUAUAAAAAGGGCAUCAGACCUUGAAAAUUAGGAAAAUCAUUCACCUGGAAAAAGACAAGUGUGACAUGUAUGAGAUCCUUUCUUCCUUCCCCUUCCCCUACCAUCACAGGCUCACAAAACUGUAUCAUAGAAAAAAAAUCUAUUUAGUUCAAAUCUCAUUUUAGGUUAAGUAAUUUGUCCAAGGUCUCCAAACAGCAAGUGACACUGCUGGGGUUUUAACGCAGGCUAAGUGACUGAAGUGUUGUGCCCUUUCUACUACACAUGUAGUUUCCUUUUUAUUUCUUCUUCUUCUUUUUUUUUUUAUACAAAGCAGCAAUAGAUUGAAAGAUCUAACCACCAAAGUAAUCUGAUCCAGUUUCAGAGACUAUAAUUAGCUUUUUCAUAUUAGUGGGCAGUACUGGGUAUUCCAUUUCACAUAAAGCAAGAAUUAAUUCCUUCCAAGGCUCCCACCUAAGAAGGAAGAGGAGAGCACCUACUUACUAUUUGAAGUUAGCCUCCCAGUAUUUCCCAUCAGGCUGACAAUUGACCUCACCUGCUCUGGAUUACUGCUCUUACAUUCCCCUUCACUUUUUACACCAAUUUGGGACCCGGUUUUCCUAGAAUCAAAAGUUAGUAGACACAGCAGUUUAAUAUCACAGAACUUCCCACCAUUCAAACCUAACUGCUCUACAUUGCAUUGUCAUUCUCCUUUACUCCCGAAAACAGCUGCCACAUAGUAUUAUUUUAUUACUUUUUCUAAUAAAAGUCACUGUUUAUAACUUCAAGUCAAAGAAAUGUAGUUAACAUGGAAGAGAUGGUAAAGAUUCAGACUUGUAAAUGUUAUUUAUAGAAAUCUUUUUUUAACCUUUGUUUAGAGGAGGGAUCCACAUCAGAAGAUGGGGAAAAGUAAAGCUUGUAACUGGAUAAUAGAUAACACUCAGCACCCAAGGAACUUUGUUGUUUUAAAUAAACAAAGUCAAAUUUGUAUUAUCUAACAUCCCACUAUACUACUCUUUAUUUGGGUUAUGAAGACUAGUAUUUUAUUUUUCAUAGAAAGUACAUAAAGUCUUGAUAAUUAAUUUUGUUCAGUCUCGUAGACCUUUAAAGUAUAUCUGAAAACACAGAACCGCAAAUGUAAGACAUAUUUCCUAAUUUGUAAAAAGUUAAAGCAGAUUACAAUGAUAACAUCUGUAAAACAAUAAAAAUUUAGUAAAAACAAUAUAAAGAAAAAAACUAAAUAUUUAAAAGUGAUAAGAAAAAAGUUAUUUCAAAGGAUAUCAGCUGAGGGGCACUAUAAAAAUAAAAUUUUCAAUUUUAUUGUAGAGCCUCCUAGCAGCUAGAGCUGCAAGGGAAACAACACAAGGAGAAGUAUGAUUCUCAUCGCAUAGUACAAAGUACAUAGUACAAAGAAAUAUACCAGAAAUUAGGGGAGAGAAACUUUCACCUGGACCAGAGAUUUAAAGAUUUAUAAUGGGAUUCCCCACAUAAGACACAGUAAGAAUUAAAUAUAUAGCAUGCUCAUACUUGUGCUACACAAUAUAUAUCUGAUAAAAAUCUGUGUGUUCUUCAUAUAUCUACGUUUGUUUUCGGUUUCUCUAUGUUGACCCUUGGUGAGAGUUGAGGACAUAAUUUUAAAGUGAAUUUCUGAAAAUACCAUCCUGCAAAAGAUGAGAGUGUUUUAAUGCAGUUUUAUUUUGCUGAAAAUAUUUAUUGCAAGGAGAGCUAAAGCUUGCAGGAUCUCAAAAAGUGAAUAAUUAUAAUACCCCUCAUUAGCCUGUACACACCUUGGUUUUCAUAUUUGCAAAACCUUAAGACCAGACAAUUCAAGAUUGAGAUCACAAGCCAGAACCCGCCAAGCAGGUAUGUCAUCUUGUUGGUGAAGACAAUUGAUAACCAAAUCUAGCAUUGAAGGUAGAGAAAGAACAAAACAGGGACAAGAUAUAGGACAGUAAGAUGCCUUAGCUAUUUGGUAAAUGUUGAGAGAUGGGAAGAAAUUUAAUAUUGAAAGUCUCAAUUAUCUACUCUAAUAUUACAAAUUAUUAAGCACUUAAUAAACAUAAUUUGAUGAUGAAAUAAUUCUCUGUGAAAAAGGGUAUACACAUAGAUAAACAAAUAGAUAAUAGAUGAUGGAUAGAUAGAAGAUAGAUGUGUGUAUGUAUAUAUAUGUAUAUAUGUAUGUAUGUGUGUAAAUAUAUUAUAUAAUCUGUUAUAUAUGAUAAUCAUAUAAUCUAUAACUUAUAGAUUAUAAAAUCAUAAGUCUAUAUUUUAUUAAAAUAUUAAAUCUGUUUUAUUAUAUUAAAGCUAUAUUUUAUUAUACAUUUUAAAUAUAAAAUCUAUAACAUUUUAUAGAUUAUGAACAUAUAAUCUAUAAUCUCCCUAUUCUGUCUACUUCAUAAAGUGAUAACCAUCUGAUAAAUCAUACAUAAAAGUGCUUUGUAAAAUAUAAAGUGUUAUGCUAUACACCUUUAUUUGUCUUAAGAGUAGUAAAAGAAGUGGUACUAAUAAUUUAGGAAUGGCUAACUCCCACAUAAUGAAUCGUUAGCUUAAAGACUGUAGGGAAAAUUGUGUCAUGUAAUUAUAGAGAGAACACGUUUUAGGGAGAAAGCCUACUUCAGAGAAUACUCACGCAUUCUCAGCACACAGUGCACAUCUGUUGUCAUAUGUUUUCCCAUCUGUGCCACAAACAGCUUCAUAAUAAUCAGGACAGAUAAAAUCCCCAUCUCUUUCUCCUUUUUUAAAAUCAUCACAAUUCAGCUGCAAAAGACAUGAUCAAGGAACGUCAAAAUGUAAGAAACAAAAUAGUCCUUAGAUGUAUAAAUAGAUUAACAUUUUAAGCCCACAAUAAUGUAAAUUGCUGGAGAAGAAAAACAUAUCAUGAAGGCUACAUUGAGCUAAUAAAUUUAUGGGCAAUAAAACAUGAUCCAAGAACAGAUAAAAUUAGAUUUCAAAAGAAAGAAUUUCAGUAUUACUUCAGCCACUUGCUGUCUGGGUGAAGUAGGCCACGUCACCACUCUGAAACUUGGCAUGUUGUUCGUCUGUCCAAUCCUGCCUGCCUUCUCCACAGAGUAGUAGUGAGGCCCAGUAGAUUACGGAUAUGAAAGCUCUAAGUAAACUAUAAACUACAGCAAAGUUUCUAUUAUUAUAGAUUAGAAUAGUAAUUAAGAGCAGGAUUGCUUGUUUCAUAUUUCUAAGUCUGCCACUUAAGCUAUGGGACUUGGACAAGUUAUUUAACACCUCUAUGCUUUAGUGUCCUCAUGUGCAAAAUGGUUAUAAUUUUGUCAAACUCUCAGGACUAUAUAGGGAUUUACAUAUGUUAAUUCAUGUAUAGCACUUGGAACAGUGCCUGACACAGAACCAUUUAUUGUUGUUGUUGUUGUUAUUUUCAAUGUUUUCUCUACUGACAAGCCAAGUAAACUAAACAUCUUUUAGGUACGGCAGGAGAAAGCCCAAAUCUCUAUUCUAAUAAUGUGACAUACACUUAGGAACAAACCUGAUGGUAAAGAAAAACAAAUGUACAAAGUAAUAACUGAAGACUAGUGUUCAAGUCUCAGACCUGCCACCCACUCACUUCACCUCUUUGCACCUCACUUUCCUCAUCAGAAAAAUGGAAAUUCACACCCUACCUACAUUCCAGAUUUGCAAUAAGGAUCAAGUGAAUUCUUAUGAAACAUUAUUUGGCAACUUAUUAUUGUGACAUAACCUAGCUAAAAAAGAUAUAGAGUUAACUUGACUUUAACUUUUACCUAAAACCAAAUAAUAAAACUGGAUAAUUUUUCUUUAGAAUAUCACAUUGCAAAAUACAACUUCAUGUUAUCAUUGUCAAAAUAAAGACAUUUUAAUGAUAAAUAUGAAACACUUAGAAUGUAGACCUAUGAUGUAUCAGUAUGUCACAUAAUAUAAAGAAUAAAAGUAGGAUACAGAAGAUCAGGUUGAGAAACUCUUAUCUAGAAGGAAAAGAACUGAAAAUAGAAAAGAAAAGCUAAAGAACAUACUCCACUAUUCAUAUGUUUAGAAAGAAGUUAAAAAUACAUUGAAAAUAAGAUAAGCAGUGGCCAUAUAAGUUAUUUCAUUCAUUCAUUUGUUCAUUUAUUCCACAAAAUUUAUUACAUAUUAACUACAUUUUAGCACUCUUCUGGACUGUGAAGCUGCCACAGAAAAUAUAAAAUAAAAAAGAGAGAGAGAGAAAAAAAUGGAAUACAUAUUCUAAGGAGCUUACAUUCUGAUAGAAAGAGACAGAUAUGCACAACAACUAUAAAUUAUAGUAAGUGCUCUCACAAAUAAACAGAAAAAUACAAUAGUGACCAGAAUGGGGACUAUUUUAGAUAUAGUGGCAAAAACAUUUGAGGGAAGAACAUUCUGGGCAUAGAGAACGGCAAUUGCAAAGGAUUUGUGGUGGAAACUAGACUGUCCUUUUUAAGGAAUGGACAGAAAGAAGGGAAAUGUGACCGAAGCAUAAAGAAAAAGCAGGAUGGCUCUUGGUUUUCUCUCAAAAAUCAUUCCUGAAGAUACUACAGAAGCAUAGGGAAAUUACAGAUCAAAGUAAUUAACUCAAAACAAUCACUACUAUCCCCCUUCCCCAGAAAAUCAACAGCAACGUACUAACUAGGUCACAGGUGUAGAGAGGGGAAUGACAGAGCAAGUCAAAAGGCCAGCUGGGGGAUGAUGAAAACAGGCGCAAGGAUAUAUGACUCCAUCUCCUUCCCCUCCAAACCCCUAGGUGGUGGAUCACAACCUACAGAAAACACCUCUUCCUAAUGUUGACAAUGCCUGAGACCUUACAGAUAGAUUCCUGACCUGGUGAAGUGGCAGCAAGCUGGAGUGGAAAAGAGGGGAUUCAGAACCUCCAGCACUGGGUCUUAUCUCUUUUUCUAUCCUUAUACUCACCAGAAGGGCUACAGACUGAAGCUUGACAUUGAACACUACCUAACUGAAUUUAGCAGAAAAAAUAAAUACAGCCAUUAUGGAAUAUUACAAUAAGAAUAUCUGUAUAUCUGACAAGUAAAAAAUAGAAUAUACUAAACAACAUGUAUUAAUUGAAGUAGAAAUAUUGGAAUGGGUAGAAAAAUAUUUUAUCAAGUCUAAUUAUGUUAUGGAGAGAUAAGAGAAGAUAUCUGCAUAAACAAAUGUAAAACAAUAACAAGAAAGAAGUUAUAAAGGAAGAACAAAGUGGAAAUUUUGUAUAUGGAAAAUAUUCAAAUGAUAAUAAAUCUAGCAAUAUAAAGAAUAAAGAUGGGAUAGGUACAAAUAAAUAAUGAACUUGUGAACCAGAUGAUCAGAUCAAGGAAUUCUCCUAGAAGGCAAUGGAAAUAAGAAACAAUUUUUCUAAAAAAGGAAAAGCUAAAGAACAUUUAAAAUAGAAUUAGAAGUCUCCAAAAGAAGGAAAUAAAUAUAGAAAGAAAUAUCUGAAGAAAGGAACAAUUUCUAUAAUUAACAAAAAAAGAAUAAAAGAGAAAAGCAAUAAGAAUUUUAAGCUAAAAUCAAGUUAAUAACAAAAUUAUAUUUACAGAAAAUAUAUGGAGAGUGGAUUAACAUACAUUUGGAGAGAAGACAAAGAAAUUGACAAUAGACACAGAUAUUAGCAAUAGAAUAAAUAAUCAAAAGUAUGGCUAUUUGUUUAGGGAUAGUCAUAAUAAGAACAAAAAUAAAUCACCACCCAAAAAAAGCUAGAAAGAAGAAACUACUAAAUAUAGUAACCGAAAAUAUUUUAAAAAUGAAAGAACCAAGUCUCACUAUAACAGAAAUAACAAUAAAUAUAAAUGUGCUAAACCUACAAAUUAAGAGACAAUUGGUAAUUUGAUGUUUAAAAAAGAACCCAUGUAUUGAGAAAAAUUAAAAUGAAAAGGCAUGCAAAUAUCAAACCAGUAAGAUAAUAAAAAUAUACAAGACAAAAAUGAAGAGGAAGAGAGCAUAUGCAGCAAUAUUAACACUUAAAAAUUAGAAUUGAGUCCAAAAAUGUAUCAUAAGUGACAAAGAAGGACAAUAUAUGAAGUAAAAAAUGACAAGAACAAGAACAAGAAAGUAUAACAAUCAUGAGCAUAUAUUCACCUAAUAAUAUAGACUUUAAAUAUGUCAAACAAUAACAAACAGAAUGUAAUAGACUUAAAUAAAUCAAUAACUGGAGUUAGAGAUUUAAGCAAACACUUCUCAGAAAUUUAUAUAUUAAGUAAAAAAAAAAGAAUAUUAAGCCAUUAGAUUUUUAUAGACAACUACAACCAAGAAACAGAAAAUAAACAUUUUUUAAGAAUAUAUAGGCCGGGCGCGGUGGCUCACGCCUGUAAUCCCAGCACUUUGGGAGGCCGAGGCGGGC